CAGAGUCUCACUCUGUCACCCAGGCCAGAGUUCAGUUGCACGAUCUUGGCUCACUGCAUCCUUCACCUCCUGGGCUCAAGAGAUACUCCUGAAGCAGGGCAUUUCCCUGACCCUUUCAUGGGACUCGUGACAGGGGUGCCCCAUUUACUCAGCCCACUGCUCUCAACUCCUCGAGGGAGGGAAUGCGCAACUGAACAAGGCAGGAACUGGAGUACAUGAGUGCUGGAACCAGUGGCCUCUUUGGUGCCAGAAGGAGUGAACUCACCCACUCUGACCUGCUGUGUUCCACACCUUGCAGGAGAGAGCAUGCAGGAAAAAUCAGCUUACAGGAACGAAUUGAAGGAUGAUAAAUGCAGAGGAUUUUAUUGCCAAGGAAAGUGGCUCUCAGCAGGAAGGGCAGCUGGGAAGGAGAUGUAGCAGGAAGGUUUCUGGCUGGACUCUUUUCCAAAGUUGCACUGUCAAGCUGUCUCUCUGAAAUCAAGCUGCUUCUCUCCAACGUCCAACCGUAGUCUCUGAUGCCCAGCUGCUGCUUCUCU
rnacentral:lncRNA from 1 species